AAACACCCAAGAAUUAUCAAUAAAAAAAUAAAUUAAAAAAAAAAAUAAAUAAAUAAAUCCAGCAAAAAUAAAAAUAAAAAAUAAAAUCCCCUUGAAUACAUUUGAGGUAAUGUUGUAGUUUUCAGCUCCUCCCACGAGAGAUUUUAUGGAGUGCCUAACUGUGCUACCCGGGUGCUGCUCCUGUCGUUAGUGGUGGCACCCAGGAGGAAUUAAAAUUACAAGAGUGUUUCCUUCCAGAUGUUGUUGCUACAGGCUCAAGGUGCUCUUUUAACUGGGACAUCAGGCUUUCUUGAAAUAGACAAGAAUUCUAGAAACAUGACAUUGUGCCUGAUUCAUCGCUUCAACUUGCCACUGACUCAUUCUCUCCUUGAUAGGUUAUUCAACAGUAACUUUAAUUACAUCAUUUACUUAUUGUUUUCUUCCUUGAUUUAUUCUCUUUCUACAAUUCUUGUUUAUCAUCUCAGUGAUUGGACCAUCUCACCUCUGAGACUUGGGUAGAAUUCUGUGGACUCUGGAAAUAGACAUGGAGGUUUUCAUGUAUCUCUGUUAAUGUGUACAAACACCCCCAGGCUUGUACACUUGAAAUACAUCAGUAGGAAGGGUAGUUCUCAAUUUGCUAGUGUUUCACACAGCUUGUCUUAUUUAAUGAUCUCAGCUGCCCUAUGAAGUAGAUACCAUCCUAUUAAAAAAUGCAGGAGCAGAGGCUCUGAGAGGGGACUGUAACUUACCCAAGAUCAUGUGGUAGAUUGCAAAACUGGUUCCAAAUCCCUACCCUUCCCUGUACGCACACCUUUUGCCAUUCAUCUGCAAUGUCCUUUUCUGAUUCUGGGCUCAGCAAUAUAACUUGCUCUGGCCAACAGGAUAACAACAGCAAAUGUGAUGUAAGCAAAAGCUUGAGAAAUACUUGUGCAACUAAUCAUGUUUGCCUUCUCUCUUGUACCUGUGCCAUUGCCAUGAGAACAUGCCUGGGCUAGGAUUAGAGACACUUGGAGCAGAGCUGAGUCAUCCCAGCUGUCCCAGUUGAGGCCAGCCUAGGUCAGUCGAUGGCAACCAAGCCCUAAGCAUGUUAGUGAGCCCAGCCAUGAUCAGCACAACCACCUAGCCAACCAUCCCAGACCUGUGAUCAAUAAAGCCUUACUAUUCCAUACCACCUAGGUUUUGUGAUUAUUUAUUUCACAGAAUUAUUAUGGCAGUAUGUAACUGAUAGAAGCGGUGUACAGGGAAGAGUAUUUGUUAGUCCGUUUUCACACUGCUGAUAAAGACAUAUGCGAGACUGAGCAAUUUACAAAAGAAAGAGGUUUAAUGGACUUACAGUUCCACGUGGCUGGGGAAGCCUCACAAUUGUGGUGAAAGGUGAAAGUCACAUCUCACAUGGCAGCAGACAAGAGAAGAAGAGCUUGUGCAGGGAAACUCCCCUUUUAAAAACCAUCAGAUCUCAUGAUACUUAUUCACUAUCAUCAGAAUAGCCUGGGAAAGACCUGUCCCCAUGAUUCAGUUACUUCCCACCGUGUCACUCCCACAACAAGUGGGAAUUCAAGAUGAGAUUUGGGUAGGGACACAGCAAAACCAUAUUAGAGCAGAUCUCUGGAAUUGGGCAGGCCAAGGUUUGAAUCCCAUCUGUUAUUUGGAGUGUGUGUUUCUUUUUGAGACUAAUCUCCUUACCCUUGAAAUGAGGUAAUAUACUUCCCUCAUAGGGUUGCUGGGAAGAUUAAACACGAGGUGAAGUAAAUAAAGCCCCAGGGACAUAAGCAAAAAAUAAUGGCUUCUCACAGCAAUGCUCCAGAACAUACAACAAGGGAAUACUGGGCCCAGUCCCAGGACUAUCCAAGUGUGAAGCCAACACCUUUUCACAUCAACUCCAAGGUAAGGAUUAAGAACAGAAUGGCCUGGUUCUAAUCUUACCAUGAAAUGCUGCUCCCCUGAAUCUUCCAUUGCAGUAUAGAGAGCAGGACAGGCCUUUAAAAAAUUAAUGUUGCUUAAAUUUAGGAGCCUGAAAAAAAAGCCAAAUCCAAGAUUUUCCUUUGGACUUGUGGUUUUGCCAGAUAGGUGGCAGUGAUUUCGGGAAGGAGGGUUGCUUUUGUCCUGGGUAUGGGUGUGUUUCAAAGUCCUCCGGGCACAGUUGGGAGCAGGGGCCAGCCUGGCUGCGUUUGCCCUGACUCUGUUGGUUGCCCCUCUGCAUGCACAUGCAUUUUUGAUGACAGAUCAUUCAGGAAAUGUGAAUGUUUCCCUGGGAGGCUUUGCUUUUUUCACCUGGCCUUCUUUUCUGGGCCUCCUGUGGGGCUGCCCUUUCCCUUCCUUUGAAGCCAUUGUCUUCUUGACAUGAAAAAUGUACUCAGGUACGCUUAUGGCUAAUUAUCUCAAGGGGGAAGAAAAAACAAAAUGAACUCAAGGCUGAAAUAUAGAACCAUUAACUCUGUAAACUCUGAAAAGUCAUAAGACACUUUUUUAAAAUUAAAAAAAUACAUAUACAUUUGAAAUAGUUUCUUCUUAAACAGAUAAACAGAAUUAACUUGGGAUGUUUCCUACACAAUUUAGCUUCCUUCUCUCUCCCUCCACUCCCACCCCAGAUAGCUCACUUCCCUUUAUCAUCUCUGAUGCUGAUGAUGGGUGACAACAGUUAGCUGCACUGUACUCUGCCUCUAACUUAUUUUAUGACCUUGGAUAAGUUACAUGGCAUUUCUGAGCUUCUGCUUCUCAUAAGUAAGAUGACAUUGCUAUUACAUUUCUUUAAAACUUUUUUUAGUACUGUAAAACAAUAAUUUAUUACCUCUUGCAGUUCCAUGGGCUGACUGGACUCCACUGGGAGUUCUUGAUGUCUCUCGUGUGGUUGUGUGAGAUAGUGGCUGGGACUGGACUCAUCUGAAGGCUUGACUGGGCUGGAUGCCCAAGAUAGCCCACUUUUAGACAGAGGUGGCUGGCAGUUGAUGCUGACUGUCAGCUGGGGACUCAGCUGAGAGUGUUAACUGGAGUCCCUAGACGUGGCUUCUCCACAUGGCUUGGGCUUCUCAUGGAAGGGCACCUGGAUUCUGAGAGAGAGCAUCCCAAGAGACACAAGUGGAAAUGAUAAGGCUUCUUAUGACGUAGACUGGAGGUACUGAGACAUCACUUUUGCUACAUUAGAAGGUUAGAUGCUGACAUUUUAUGAUUUCACAACUUGGAUCCUCUGUCCUCUGAUACUGAAUCAGAUAGUAGUUUAUGGAGCUGAGCAGAGAGCCAGCUGGUCCUGGGCACAGAGGAGGCUGUGUUCCAUGCUGAAGACAAGAACAUAUGGUGGACGUACCAUCCUAACUAUCUGGGAAGGGAGCUUCGUGGCUACAUGGGAGUUAUCAUCUGCCAGUGCCGGCUGCAUCCUGGCUGUGCCCACCUCUGGACUCUGAAUCUCUGCACCUCAGUACCCCCAACCCCAACACGACUGUGAUGUUAGGCAUAUAUUAGGCAUGUGAAGAUGAGAAAGAGAAGAUACAGCUCCCAUGUUUAUCUCCAUGAGAAGAUAAGCCACAGGGAGAGAGAAAGACUGUUGUGCACGAGAGGGAGUGUCAAAUGCCAAAUGGAUGUCAGCAGUCGGGGUGUGCUAGAGGCACUCAGGGGAAGGGAGGCUGGGCAUAGAGGGUCAUGCUGGAGGAGGUGACUCUGGAUCUGAAUCUUGAAAGGUGAGUAGGAAUUACUCAAGGAAGGAAUGGGAAGGGCAUUUCAGGGGAGAGAUCCAUGUGAGUGAAAUAUGAGGACUGGCAGGGAACAGCAACCCACGUGGGUAACCGCAGAGUGACAGGAGGUGAGAGGUGGUGGGAGAUGGAGCUGGAGAUGCAGGCAGGGCCCAGGGUCAUGCAGGGCCUGGGAGGACAGGUUACAAUAUUCCCAUUUUCCUAGACUAGGACCUAGAAGCUCGGGAAGAUAAAGGGACUUGACUAAGGUCACAUAACUUGUAAGUGACCAGUCAGGCUUCGAACCCAGGACUCUGUGACGCCUCAGUCUCACCCCCUUUGCAUCAUCGUGUAAUGGCAGUUGCUGCUGCUGGUUUUCCCAGCUCCCUCUCCCAUUUCUCUGAGGCUCCUGGCAGACAAAGGGUGUUGCUUUUCUGCACCAUUUAUUGUAGUGACUUCAAUUAAACCAUCUUGUGCUGGAUCAGUGAGCAGCUCUAGGGAAUCGAUGAGCAGCACUGGCUACCAGGGAAGCAGAGUCUCCUCCCUUUGUUCCUGCCAAUCCUAGGUCUGGGUUCCUGUCCCCAGGUCUAGGGAGGACUCAAGAGAGGAAAUGGGGACCAGGGGGGCAGGUAGCAAAUCAUGAGACAAGGAAGCAAGUGUCUAUUACCUUCCUGACAUUGAGGGUGGGUGGCCAGCCCUUGGAUGUUCAUCUUUCCUGGCCCUGCCCACUGCUGCCCUUGCUCAGCUGCCUUCCUCUGGCUAAUUGGGACCUGCAGCUGCAGCUCCAAGACAAUGGGGCAUCCCACCUGGCUGCCUUCGGUGCAGGCCCAGUGUGCAAGGAACCUGGGCCCCAAGGAAGAGGAGCUAAGGGCCCUGUCCUAACUUGCUACAUGGCCUUUGGCAGAUUGCCUCCACUCUCUGAGGCUUCUUCUGGGGAAAAACAACAGGGUGGAAAUUGCAGUACAUGAUGCUGUUGUUCUCCACUUGUCGUCUUCAAUUCAUUGUCUCUCCUUCUUAGAAUUGCUCUGUGCCUCAGAAGGCUGAUCCCUGUGGAAUGAAUCAAUGGGUUCCUGUGUCUAUUGGCUCCAGUAUGAUUUGGCCACUGGGAGACACAGGCAGGAGGCUGGAAAGUGGGAGAGUAUUUCUUCUCUGCUACCUCUCUGCUUUGAUGCAGGGUUGGGCCAGUGCCAUUCUGCCUGGCUAUAGCUUCUUUCCAGCAGUCCUUCCCACUGCUCCAGGCCUCAGUGGGCUCCAGUAACCUUCUUUAGGCCCAUGGGUGGUUUCCAGCAUGAUAUGGUUUGGAUCUGUGUCCCUGCCCAAAUCUCAUGUGGAAUUGUAAUCCCCAUUGUUGGAGGUGGGGCCUGGUGGGAGGUAAUUGGAUCAUGAGGGCAGUUUUAAUGCUUAAGCACCAUUCCCCUAGUGCUGUUCUCAUGAUAGGGUUCUCAUGAGAUCUGGUUGUUUAAAAGUGUGUAGCACCUCCACCCUCUCUCUCUUCCUCCUGCUCUGGCCAUGUGAAUGCCUGCUCUGGCUUUGCCUUCUGCCAUGAUUAUAAGUUCCCUGAGGUCUCCCCAAAAGCAGAUGCUGCCAUGCUUCCUGUACAGCCUGUGGAACUGUGAGCCAAUGAAACCUCUUUUCUUUUUUUUUGAGACACAGUCUCGCUCUGUGGCCCAGGCUGGAGUGCAGUGGCAUGAUCUCGGCUCGCUGCAACCUCCACUUCCCGGGUUCAAGUGAUUCUCCCACCUCAGCCUCCUGAGGAGCUGGGAUUACAGACACUCCCCACCAUGCCUGGCUAAUUUUUGUAUUUUUAGUAGAGAGAGGGUUUCACCAUGUUGGCCAGGCUGGUCUCGAACUCCUGACCUCAAGUGAUCUGCCUGCCUCCGCCUCUCAAAGUGCUGGGAUUACAGGCAUGAGCCACCAUACCCAGGGCCUCUUUUCUUUAUAAAUAACCGAGUCUCAGGUAUUUAUAGCAAUGCGGCAACACACUAAUACACAGCAGUUUGCAGUCUCUGGGUUUCUCAAUAUUCUUCUUGGUUUCUUUAAUCUAGCCUUCUGUAAAUAGUACCUCCUCAGUAAGGUCUCUUCAGUUGAACUAUUUGAGCAGAGUUCUGUUUCCUGUUGGGACACUGAUGUAUUCUCUGAAGGCUCUUUCCAACUCUGAAGUCUUACACGUUCGUGAGGGGACGAUGUAACGACCUGGCUGACUCUCAGGCACCGGAGCCUGGGUUAUCCCGUGACAGUUUACAGGCUGAGUGAUCCCAGCUCCUCGGUAGUUCUUUCUUCCCCUCCUUUGGUCCUCAACCUUCACAGCCUUUGCUCAGAUUCCCAUCAUUUAUUUCUUGUUUUAAUCCGACUUUAUUGAGGUAUAAAUUACAAAUAGCAAACUACAUCCAUGAAAGUAUACAGUUAGAUGAAUACCUAUCUGUUAAAGCUUGAAUGUUUGUGUCCCUCUAAAUUCAUGUUGAAACUUAAUCCCCAUUGUGGUGGUAUUAACAGGUGGGGCCUUUUGGGAACUGAUUAAGUCAUGAGGGUUCUUCCCUUGGGAAUGGGAUUAAUGCUCUUGUAAAAGAGGCUUCAGAGGCUGGGCGUGGUGGCUCACGCCUGCAAUCUCAGCACUUUGGGAGGCUGAGGUGGGCGGAUCACAUGAGGUCAAGAGUUCAAGACCAGCUGGCCAACAUGGUGAAACCCCGUCUCUACUCAAAAUACAAAAAUUAGCUGGGCAUGGUGGCAGGCACCUGUAAUCCUAGCUACUCAGGAGGCUGAGGCAGGAGAAUCACUUGAACCUAGGACACGGAGGUUGCAGUGAGCCUAGAUUGUGCCAUUGCAUUCCAGCCUCGGCAACACGAGCAAAACUCUGUCUCAAAAAAAGAGGCUUCAGAGAGCUGCCUGGCCCUUCUCAUCCUUCUGCCAUGUGAAGACAUAGCGUGCAUCCCCUCUGGAGGGUAUAGGAACAAGGUGUCAUCUUGGAAGGAGAGAGCAAGCCCUCACCAGACACCAAAUCUACCGGCACCUUGACCUCCAGAACUGGUUGCCCCAGCAAUGGCCCUUCUUCCUCGUGGCAGAAGCUGGCUCUAGUUUCUAGCUCCUUUCAACGCUCCCAGAACCAGCCUCCCUAUGCCACCUUAGAGUGCAGUUCCUGUUCUCCUGGCUGGACCCUGACUGAUGCCAUGGGGAAAGCCCUCGGGCUCGUGGACCUUAAAUUCCAGGUCCUGUUGUGCCCAACUCAUGAUUUAUCCAGGUCACACCAGUCUGGUCUGUCACAGUAAGAGGGCACCAUCACAUACACUAUAAUAUGAAUCAUGACCCCCGGAGUUGUGUGGAGUUUCUGCAUCUCUCCCUCCCCACUGUGGCUACCCUCAUCCAGCAACCAUCCUGUCUCUCACCGGUAUUACCGCAGCUGAGACCCAGGUCUUAAGGAAGCUGAGACCCAGGCCAGCAGGGGCCUCACAGCUUGGAAAAAGAGGAGGGUGUAAGACUCUGGAUGAAGCUGAGAGAUCCUUCCAUGCUUGGCUGAGAGACUACACAGACAUGAGCUUCAGGAGACUCCAAAGCCUCGGAUCCCCUUCUAAACUAGCACUGAAUUCUGAUUGGCUGUCUUUGCCUGCCUCAGUUUGUUCCUUUUACUGAUUGGCUAGGUUCUUCUGCCCAUGGCAGAGCCCUGCUCCAGCCACCGGAUCCUCCCACCUGCCACAGUGUCACCUGGGAUUGGCUGGGCUCUGAAAGGCCAGGCUGGCUUGACUCUUGCCAUCAUCAGAUUCUUCCUCAUUAAACAAAUGAAUCACAAUCCUAAUUAAUUUGAGCAACAGAAUUUAUGUAACUACUCCCAGCAGGAUGUCUGCUCUCAGUCAGCAGAGAGAUUACUUCCUCUCUCUGGGAAAUUCCAGCCUUGCUGGUCAAUAAGCCUUAAUGAUGACUGAAAUCUCCCAUCUGUCUCUGCUCAGGGCAGGUAACCCCUACUAAGCAGACACCCAGUUGGCUCGAGGCAGUACCCCGGGCACCGGCAGGACAAGGACAACGAUCUCCCAGCCUAGAUGUGUCCUGAGCCACAUGGAGCACACAGUAGGUGUUUACUUAAGGACAGGGGCUGCCCCUUCCAGGGAAGUUCUGAACCACUUAAAACCCACAGGAAGUGUUCAAUGUCUACUUAUGGAAUAAAUGAAAGGGAGGAUGUGUCACUCAGAUACUUAUAAAAUGGUCUCAAGAUCCUAAACUCCAAGCAAGCUUCUCCAGCUCUUUCCAGCCUUUGCUCCCCCUAUUUCCCAUGACCAUAACCCAAUUCUGUCUUUUUCCUAUUUUGAACUUUCCAGACUCAGAAAUUUGGCUCUUCAUGUUCCCUGCCCUUGAACCGUCCCAGCCCUCUCUCCAAAACAGGCUUCAUGCUGGCUGCAUGGGAGGGAGGGGUAGCAAAGUGGAAAGUGUUACAGAAUUAGUGCUAAUUCUGGCUUUGUCACUUACUCAUUGUACUUCACCUCUCUGUUCUUAACUUUUCUCUCAUACAUAAACCACACGGGGUUCUUGGGAAGAUUAAAUAAGAAAACAUGGUGAAAAUGUAUUGCACAGUACUUGACUCAUUUAAUUGGUGACAGACAGUGUUUUAGGUAAUGGAGAUACAGUGGUGCUCAAGGCAGGCAAGAUUCCUGCUCCCAAAGAAUUUAAUUUCCAGGAGACAAGAAGCAAGCUAGCAAAUGUAUAAGAUAAUAGUUAGGGAACAGUACUCAGCAAAAAUAAAAAAUGUAUGGAGAGGGACUGAGGGGAGUGAGGAACUCUUUGAGGAGGUGCCACUCUGAGACCCAAAUGACAAGAAGGAAUUAACCACAUGACAUUCUAGAAAGAGGGAAAAGAGUUGCUGUUAAGAAGAUGUGGGUGUGUUAAAAAAAAAUUGCAAAGUCCCUUAGGUACGAUUGAGCUGCUAAUGAUCAAUCUGAGGCUUCUGCUCUGUGUCUUAUAGGUAAACGGGGUAAGGUUUGGUAGGACUGAAAAAUUCAUCCAGCCACCUAUCUAGGGGGUGUGAGGGUCAAGAUGUGGACCCAGGUCUUCUGCCCUUAAGAGCAGAGUGCUUGUCACUACAGCACAAAGAAGGUGCAAGAGAAAGGAAAAGUGAGUGGGAGGCGGUGAGGGAGGAACAGACUGCCUUGUCCUCCACCAGAUCUAAAUCUGUCUCCUCCUGAUGGUUGGCAGGAUUACAGGAUCUGACUCCCAUUUGGGCCUUCCACCUCCGCUGGCCUAAGCAGUCAAGUGUCAGAGAGCACUGGACCUAACAGCUCCCUCACCAGAGCAGCUGUGAUUCCUUCUUCAUUUCCAGCAGGGAAGACCCAACAACUUUUAUAAUAUGGGAUUUCUUUUAUUCUCAUGAUAAUAAUGUUCAUUGUGGAAAAUAAAAAAAAAUGAUAAAAUAAAAAUCAGCCAGAAUUCCAACUUCUGGAGAUUUUGGUGUCUUUCUGCAAAGUUCCUAUGCACAUAGAUACUUUAUAAAAUUAUGAACAUACUGUACAUACAGUUUUGGAAUAUGCCUUUUUCCUUCUGUCAUGAAAAAGUCUUCAAAUGCCUUUUAACAGCUACACAAUAGUUCACUACAUGAACCAACUCAAAUGUAACUAUUUUUGGCCUUUUGUUAUAAAUAACACAAGAACCCUCAGUCUUUGUUACAUAAUGUCCUAACAGAGUAGGGGAAAUGCUCCCCAAUCCGGUGCAAUGUCCUGUGCCCAGGGAAACCAAUU
rnacentral:lncRNA from 1 species